AUUGAACGCUGGCGGCAGGCCUAACACAUGCAAGUCGAGCGGAUGAGUGGAGCUUGCUCCAUGAUUCAGCGGCGGACGGGUGAGUAAUGCCUAGGAAUCUGCCUGGUAGUGGGGGACAACGUUUCGAAAGGAACGCUAAUACCGCAUACGUCCUACGGGAGAAAGCAGGGGACCUUCGGGCCUUGCGCUAUCAGAUGAGCCUAGGUCGGAUUAGCUAGUAGGUGAGGUAAUGGCUCACCUAGGCGACGAUCCGUAACUGGUCUGAGAGGAUGAUCAGUCACACUGGAACUGAGACACGGUCCAGACUCCUACGGGAGGCAGCAGUGGGGAAUAUUGGACAAUGGGCGAAAGCCUGAUCCAGCCAUGCCGCGUGUGUGAAGAAGGUCUUCGGAUUGUAAAGCACUUUAAGUUGGGAGGAAGGACAGUAAGUUAAUACCUUGCUGUUUUGACGUUACCAACAGAAUAAGCACCGGCUAACUUCGUGCCAGCCGCCGCUGUAAAAC
rnacentral:rRNA from 1 species